rnacentral:rRNA from 1 species
AAUCUUGGUUACAGAUGAGCAUGCGGUCCAUUAGCCAGUUGGCGGGGUAACGGCCCACCAAAGCGACGAUGGAUAGGGGUUCUGAGAGGAAGGUCCCCCACAUUGGAACUGAGACACGGUCCAAACUCCUACGGGAGGCAGCAGUGAGGAAUAUUGGUCAAUGGUCGGCAGACUGAACCAGCCAAGUCGCGUGAAGGAAGACGGCCCUAAGGGUUGUAAACUUCUUUUGUCGGAGAGUAAAGGUCUUCACGAGUGGAGAUUUGCAAGUAUCCGAAGAAAAAGCAUCGGCUAACUCCGUGCCAGCAGCCGCGGUAAUACGGAGGAUGCGAGCGUUAUCCGGAUUUAUUGGGUUUAAAGGGUGCGUAGGCGGCAUGACAAGUCAGCGGUGAAAUGCCCGGGCUUAACCCGGGAGCUGCCGUUGAAACUGUCGAGCUAGCGUGCACAAGAGGUAGGCGGAAUGCGUGGUGUAGCGGUGAAAUGCAUAGAUAUCACGCAGAACCCCGAUUGCGAAGGCAGCCUACUAGGGUGCAACGGACGCUGAAGCACGAAAGCGUGGGUAUCGAACAGGAUUAGAUACCCUGGUAGUCCACGCAGUAAACGAUGAAUACUAACUGUUUGCGAUAUAAUGUAAGUGGUACAGCGAAAGCGUUAAGUAUUCCACCUGGGGAGUACGCCGGCAACGGUGAAACUCAAAGGAAUUGACGGGGGCCCGCACAAGCGGAGGAACAUGUGGUUUAAUUCGAUGAUACGCGAGGAACCUUACCCGGGCUCAAACGCAGGGGGAAUAUGGGUGAAAGCCCAUAGCCGGCAACGGCCGCCUGCGAGGUGCUGCAUGGUUGUCGUCAGCUCGUGCCGUGAGGUGUCGGCUUAAGUGCCAUAACGAGCGCAACCCCUAUUGACAGUUACUAACGGGU